rnacentral:rRNA from 1 species
GACGAACGCUGGCGGCGUGCUUAACACAUGCAAGUCGAACGGGAAGGCCCUGCUUUUGUGGGGUGCUCGAGUGGCGAACGGGUGAGUAACACGUGAGUAACCUGCCCUUGACUUUGGGAUAACUUCAGGAAACUGGGCGAAUACCGGAAAGGAGCCUCUGCCGCAUGGGGGGGGGUGGAAAGUUUCGGCGGUUGGGGAUGGACUUGCGGCUUAUCAGCUUGUUGGUGGGGUAGUGGCUUACCAAGGCUUUGACGGGUAGCCGGCCUGAGAGGGUGACCGGCCACAUUGGGACUGAGAUACGGCCCAGACUCCUACGGGAGGCAGCAGUGGGGAAUAUUGCACAAUGGGCGGAAGCCUGAUGCAGCAACGCCGCGUGCGGGAUGACGGCCUUCGGGUUGUAAACCGCUUUCGCCUGUGACGAAGCGUGAGUGACGGUAAUGGGUAAAGAAGCACCGGCUAACUACGUG